CUCCUUCAGUAAAAUUAGCUUCGUCAUUUUUAUUGUACCAACAGUCCUUUUGGGAGUGAUUAACAUUUUUGCAUUUUAAACACUUAAAUCUUCAACUCUGAGUAUUAUGAUUAGACUUUCCACAAAUUCUAUACUGGGAGGAAGACAUAACUUUAUUAUUCUUCUCAUACCUUCCACGAGAGCCUUGAUUGUAAUCUCCAAAUUUUCUUUGCUUGAAAUUUCUGCUCCCAUAAUUGUUCUUUUGUUGGAAAUUUUUCCUUCCUUCUUUAUCCGUCUCUCCUCCUCUUUUAUUUGAAAUUGNNN
rnacentral:lncRNA from 1 species